rnacentral:rRNA from 1 species
UACGAAGGGGGCUAGCGUUGUUCGGAAUUACUGGGCGUAAAGCGCGCGCAGGCGGCUAUCCAAGUCAGUGGUGAAAGCCCGGAGCUCAACUCCGGACUGCCAUUGAAACUGUUUAGCUUGAGGAUGAGAGAGGUGAGUGGAAUUCCCAGUGUAGAGGUGAAAUUCGUAGAUAUUGGGAAGAACACCGGUGGCGAAGGCGGCUCACUGGCUCGAUUACUGACGCUCAGGCGCGAUAGCGUGGGGAGUCAAACAGG